rnacentral:rRNA from 1 species
GACGUAGGGCGCGAGCGUUGUCCGGAUUUAUUGGGCGUAAAGAGCUCGUAGGCGGCUUGUUGCGUCGGCUGUGAAAUCCCGUGGCUUAACUGCGGGCUUGCAGCCGAUACGGGCGGGCUAGAGUUCGGUAGGGGGAGACUGGAAUUCCCGGUGUAGCGGUGAAAUGCGCAGAUAUCGGGGAGGAACACCGUGGCGGAGGAGGUCGCUGGCCUUGCC